rnacentral:rRNA from 1 species
CCUACGGGUGGCAGCAGUGGGGAAUAUUGCGCAAUGGGCGAAAGCCUGACGCAGCGACGCCGCGUGAGGGAUGAAGGUCUUCGGAUCGUAAACCUCUGUCAGCAGGGAAGAACGGUCACUGUGCUAAUCAGCAGUGAAUUGACGGUACCUGAAGAAGAAGCCCCGGCUAACUACGUGCCAGCAGCCGCGGUAAUACGUAGGGGGCUAGCGUUAUCCGGAUUUACUGGGUGUAAAGGGGGCGCAGACGGCGAUGCAAGCCAGGAGUGAAAGCCCGGGGCCCAACCCCGGGACUGCUCUUGGAACUGCGUGGCUGGAGUGCAAGAGGGGCAGGCGGAAUUCCUGGUGUAGCGGUGAAAUGCGUAGAUAUCAGGAGGAACACCGGUGGCGAAGGCGGCAUGCUGGACUGCAACUGACGUUGAGGCCCGAAAGCGUGGGGAGCAAACAGGAUUAGAUACCCGGGUAGUC